rnacentral:lncRNA from 1 species
UCGAUUAGCAUUAUUCUUAAAGUAAUCCUAUUACUCCAAACCUAAACGAUUACUACAUGUCCCUUCCUAAUGUUAACAGCCUAUUAACUCUAGUGUUACAAAUUUUACUAAAGUACACAGACUACUACACACUGGAAAUAGAUAGAGUCCUAAUUACUUUGAGAUAGUCUUAAUUACAUUCCACAAUCUCAUAUAAAUCAAACCAGUCCAAAAAAGUGAGCUAAAUACAAUGGAAUACGAAUAAUUGAGUUAUACAUUUAAAAGUUAACAACAAUUCCAAACUCAAACGAACAACAGUCAUUCUUCAUUCAUUGGGCUCAACAGAUGAUUUAUACACGUGAAUCAACCUCCGGAUCAAGGGACAAUGAAAAGUGUACCUGGAAUUCAAAUUUAAAUAGAGAAAGAAAUGGUCAGCAGCGGCAAUACAGCAGUAGUCACAACAACAACGGAAUAGCAACGAUCAAUAGUGAUACCACAGCAAAAGACACUAACAACUAUUUCAGUAGUGAUACCACAACUAACAACUAUUUCAGCUUGAAAGACACUAACAAAUAGACCCCAAGAGAUGACUGAACCAACCAAAUAUAGCUCAAAUGACCCACACAAUUCAAACACACCCAAAACUGAACAAUUGAUCUUAGAAGAAACUCCAGCAACUCAGAACUAGGCUAGAAGAUCAGAACCAACUACUGAUACUCGAAAUUGAAAUAGGAAACUGAAUGGAACAUUAUUUUUUUUAAAUCUUUGUAGCUUUUGUAUGUUCACCUGGAAAGUCUAAUGUUCUUCCUCUCAAAAUCAAUCUUGCUGCUCUUUUAAGCUCUCUCAAAACUCUUAAGGUUUCAAAGUGUGGAAGAAUUAAGCUUUAAAAGAUUUCGAGAAAACUUAUCCUCAAACUCUCAAAAUGCUUAAAGAAGAACUCGCUUCGAAUCCCCUCUCUCAAAAAGAUUUUCAGGACUUAUCUCCCUCCCCCUAAAACUGUCUAGGCCUG